UACGGGGGGGGCAAGCGUUGUUCGGAAUUACUGGGCGUAAAGGGUGCGUAGGCGGCUUUCUAAGUUGGAUGUGAAAACUAUGGGCUCAACCCAUAGCCUGCAUCCAAAACUGGAGAGCUUGGGUUCUGGAGGGGAAAGCGGAAUUUCUGGUGUAGCAGUGAAAUGCGUAGAUAUCAGAAGGAACAUCAGUGGCGAAGGCGGCUUCCUGGACCAAUACUGACGAUCAGGUGCGAAAGCGUGGGGAGCAAACAGG
rnacentral:rRNA from 1 species